CAUUGAACGAACCUUUGGAAGAUGGAAAAACCGAUGGAGGUGCUUGCACAAAGAAGGUGGAACUCUUCGAUUAAGCCCCGAGAAGUGUUGCUCGGUGAUCAUUGCAACAUCUGUGCUACAUAACAUCUGUGAAAACCACGGCCUCCCUGUCCCAAACGACCCACCAGCCAAUGUGGAUAAUCCCGAUGAUGACGUCAACAAUAGACCAAUCCUCGAUGUCGAUGUCGAAGAAAGAGGUGUUGGAGAAAGGGCACGCUUGAUAGAUCAGCAUUUCAGGAAUAUGUAAUGAAGCCGUUGUUCUUCCACGUCAAGUCGCUUGCUCUCGAUUUUGACCCGUUCCUUCUCCACAUCAAUUAGUUCAACGGCAUGUGAAAGCUUCUUAUCUGCGAGAGACAAACCAGUUGAAGACGCCUUGGAAGAGCCAGCAGUGGGACGACAGCUCUUGGGUUGUCGGGCAGGACUUGGCGGCGGUGAAGGGGAUCGGGUGUCAUCUUCUGAGCUGCUAUCGUUCGGGCGCGUGAUGGUUGCUGUAACCUUACGAAUUCUCUGGAAAAUACAUUUGAUAGACUUAAAUGCAAAAAGCCAUUAAACAUGAGUGAGGUCUUAGUAUGUCUUUAGUUGUUAUUUACUUCCUUCUCAUAUAGAAGGCCAGUACUGAAACGGGCACGUCAGGAGAUACGUUUUCUUUCCUAAUAACGACACAAGCAAAUGAGAAAAAGCAUUGCACAGAUCGUUGUGCAGCCACCUGGAAAGUUGCGAUCUUCCCUUAUCACUGCUUAUGCCUCCAGUAAUCAA